CCGCUUGAUGAGGAUGAGAUCGUCUCACAUAUCCUGGAAGGAUUAGAUGCAGACUACAAUCCUUUUGUUUCGUCCAUCUCCAUGCGUGUAGAUCAAGG
rfam:Hordeum vulgare subsp. vulgare, WGS project CAJW01000000 data, contig: morex_contig_326705